rnacentral:rRNA from 1 species
GUUUUAAAGUUUGAUUCUGGCUCAGAACGAACGCUGGCGGAAGGCUUAACACAUGCAAGUCGAGCGCACCUUCGGGGUGAGCGGCAGACGGGUGAGUAACGCGUGGGAACGUACCUUUUGGUUCGGAAUAGCCCCGGGAAACUGGGAGUAAUACCGGAUAAGCCCCUCGGGGGAAAGAUUUAUCGCCAAAAGAUCGGCCCGCGUCAGAUUAGCUAGUUGGUGGUGGUAAUGGCUCACCAAGGCGACGAUCUGUAGCUGGUCUGAGAGGAUGAUCAGCCACACUGGGACUGAGACACGGCCCAGACUCCUACGGGAGGCAGCAGUGGGGAAUCUUGGACAAUGGGGGAAACCCUGAUCCAGCCAUUCCGCGUGGAUGAUGAAGGCCUUAGGGGAGUAAAAUCCUUUCAGCAGGGAAGAUAAAGACUGACCUGCAGAAGAAGCCCCG